AGUGAACGCUGGCGGUAGGCCUAACACAUGCAAGUCGAACGGCAGCACAGUAAGAGCUUGCUCUUACGGGUGGCGAGUGGCGGACGGGUGAGGAAUACAUCGGAAUCUACUUUUUCGUGGGGGAUAACGUAGGGAAACUUACGCUAAUACCGCAUACGACCUACGGGUGAAAGCAGGGGAUCUUCGGACCUUGCGCGAUUGAAUGAGCCGCUGUCGGAUUAGAUAGUUGGCGGGGUAAAGGCCCACCAAGGCGACGAACCGUAGCUGGUCUGAGAGGAUGAUCAGCCACACAGGAACUGAAGCACGGUCCAGACACCUACGGGAGGCAGCAGUGGCGAAUAUUGGACAAGGGGCGCAAGCCUGAUCCAGCCAUACCGCGUGGGUGAAGAAGGCCUUCGGGUUGUAAAGCCCUUUUGUUGGGAAAGAAAAGCAGCAGGUUAAUACCCCGCUGUUCUGACGGUACCCAAAGAAUAAGCACCGGCUAACUUCGUG
rnacentral:rRNA from 1 species